rnacentral:tRNA from 1 species
GAACGAUGAAGUUAGAGGCAUAAACACCCGACUCAUAAUCGGAUAGUGGUUUACCCGGCGGGUACUCCUUCGCAGGUUCGAAUCCUGCCUUCGUUCG